rnacentral:lncRNA from 1 species
GAGAGAGAGAGAGAGGGUAUAAAUGGAGUGUUGGAGGGUAAAAAUCCAGGGGCAGAUCUGCACCAACAAUUGAAAGAAAAGAUACCAUCGAGGCUGCGAAAAAAGAAAAAGCAAAGGGGAGAAUAUCGUUUUCGAUACUAUACCAUACCAUUUUUUUUAAAAAGUUCUUCACGAGUUUUUGUAUGUGUGUACAACUUACAUAUAUAAGCUUAUCAUCAUUUUGUGUCUACAUUUUUUUCUCUAUAUAAAAGAAAGGGGGAAAGAGGGGUUGAGAGAGUUUUGGCAGUGGUGGAUGGUUUUGUAAAGAAGAGGAGUGAGGAGAAGAACAUGUUUGAGUUGAGAGAAGGGAGUUGUUAUCCAAAGGCUUUAACGGGAGUGAAUGUGGCUCUUGCUUCUGUCGAUGCCGUUAUUGCUCUUCUUGCUUUUGCUCAGGUAACUCUUUCUUUUAUUUUUGUUCUAGAGGGUUAUAUAUAUAUGGGUUUUUGUUAAAGCUUCUGUCUUUAUCUUUCAAUUGCUGUGUUGGUUGUUCUUUUCUUGGAAUUCUGAAAGGAGAGUAUUUUUUAAUGUGCUAAGUUAUGAAUGUAUUUCAAUUGGGAUUUUGGGUUGUGGUUUCUGGGUUUUUUUUGAAAGGUUUUAAUGGAUUCUGAAUAUCAAUUUUAUUUGUGAUGGACCUUGGAAGGAUGCUCUUUUGGCUAGAUUCGUGCUAUUGGAUUGAAAAAUUGAGUCUUUCUUACUAAAUACUCUUGAUCCAGACCCCACCUGGUGGGAGUAUACUGGGUAGUUGUUGUUGUUACUAAAUACUCUUGACGUAGCUCGUUAGCUUCUACUAUAUGCGUGGUCAAUUCAGUUUAUAAUGCUUCAAUCUUAAGGAAUGUCGCUCAAUUGUCACAAUGGCUAAAAGAUUGUAUUUUUUUCCUAAAUUUUAUCGUGGGUUUGUGCGGAUGCAUUUUCUUGAGACAGUUCCUCUGCCAUUUGUGGUGCUCUCCAGAUAUGGAUUCUCUGAAGCGAGACACUCAUUUUUCAUGUUGAAACUGCAUAUACUACCCACGUAACUAAUUGUUGCUCCUCUUCGCUGGGUCGGGUAGGAUUGAACUUUUUGCAUUGAUCAAAUCAUGAUAG